rnacentral:misc_RNA from 1 species
CAGAAAUAGACAUUGCUGUUUUUGACCCCGUCACCGGUACUCGGUAUUCUGUUAAAGGAAUCCAGCCACACGAGAUGCCUGUCAUAGGUAAUAGUCAGUUCUGUGUUGUUAUAGUCUGUUUAAGAAAAUUAUUCUAAAGGUAACAAAGAACCUAUAAACGAAAAUAACGUCGCCUUUAUGCGUUAUGUGAAUGAGAAGACACGUCUUAAGUUUAGUCAUCUUACUUUUUUGGCCAGUUUUUUCUAGAUAUUUUUCUUAGAAUUACGUUAUAUACACAUUGUAAAUUUCUCAGAGUGAAACCAAACAAGGUAAUUGAAAACGAAGUUCCCAUUUAAAACUAAUUGUAUAACUUGAUGCUUUUUUGCUAUGCUUACAUGCUUAUUUGAUUGCAGACGAGUGAAAAUGAGAUAAGGACUCGGUGAGGAGCGCAGUUCGUCAUUGCUGAUUGUUUUAUUUUACAACUGAAUCGCAGUAACCUAAGUUACAUGCUAACAGCUUCUAUAUCGAUCCGCGCAUACUUCCCGGCUUCACCUACUUGGUGCGCCCGAACGGUUCAAAGCGUCCGCUGUUCAACGGCCAA